rnacentral:rRNA from 1 species
AUUGAACGCUGGCGGCAGGCCUAACACAUGCAAGUCGAACGAGUGGCGGACGGGUGAGUAAUGUCUGGGAAACUGCCUGAUGGAGGGGGAUAACUCCUGGAAACGGUAGCUAAUACCGCCUACCAUCGGAUGUGCCCAGAUGGGAUUAGCUAGUAGUGGGGGUAAAGGCUCACCUAGGCGACGAUCCCUAGCUGGUCUGAUAGGAUGAACAUCCACACUGGAACUGAGUCACGGUCCAGACUCCUACGGUAGGCAGCAGUGGGGAAUAGUGCACAAUGGGCGCAAGCCUGAUGCAGCCAUGCCGCUUGUAUGAAGAAGGCCUUCGGGUUGUAAAGUACUUUCAGCGGGGAGUCGUUACCCGCAGAAGAAGCACCUGCUAACUCCGUGCCAGCAGCCGCGGUAAUAC